GUGCCAGCCGCCGCGGUAAUUCCAGCUCUCAGAAUGCAUAGAACUAUUGCUGCGGUUAAAAAGCUCGUAGUUGGAUUCGUGUUCGGGCACUGGUCCUCGUCUUCAUUGACUUGGCACUGGUGAUCUGGGCUUAUGGUCGGUCUCUGCUCAUCGGAUUUCGGUCCUUCGGGUAGGUGCUGACGAGUUUACUUUGAACAAAUCAGAGUGCUCAAAACAGGCGUUCCGCUUGAAUGUUCGUGCAUGGAAUAAUAGAAGAGGAUCUCGGUCCGAUUUUAUUGGUUUUACGGUCGAGAUAAUGAUCAAUAGAGACAAACGGGGGCAUUCGUACUUCUGCGCGAGAGGUGAAAUUUUUGGACCGCAGAAAGACGCACUACAGCGAAAGCAUUUGCCAAGCUUGUCUUCGUUAAUCAAGAACGAAAGUCAGAGGAUCGAAGGAGAUUAGAUACCUCCGUAGUUCUGACCGUAAACGAUGCCGACUAGCGAUCUGUCGGCGGAGAUUCAUCGCCCCGAUAGGGAGCUUCCCGGAAACGAAAGUCUUCCGGUUCCGGGGGAAGUAUGGUUGCAAAGCUGAAACUUAAAGGAAUUGACGGAAGGGCACCACCAGGAGUGGAGCCUGCGGCUUAAUCUGACUCAACACGGGGAACCUCACCCGGGCACGACACCGUGGGGAUUGACAAACUGACAGCUUUUUCAUGAUUCGGUGGAUGGUGGUGCAUGGCCGUUCUUAGUUCGUGGAGUGAUCUGUCUGGUCUAUUCCGAUAACGAGCGAGACUCUAGUCUACUAAAUAGUACAGGCAUAGACUCGUGUCUGCGACUUCUUAGAGGGAUCAACGGCGUUUAGCCGAAAGAAAUUGAGCAAUAACAGGUCUGUGAUGCCCUUAGAUGUCCGGGGCUGCACGCGCGCUACACUGGCAAAAUCAGCGUGAUCCUGCUUCGAGAGGAGUGGGCAAACCCAUGAAAAUUUGCCGUGAUUGGGAUCGGAGAUUGCAAUUAUUCUCCGUGAACGAGGAAUUCCAAGUAAGUGUGAGUCAUCAACUCGCGUUGAUUACGUCCCUGCCCUUUGCACUCACCGCCCGUC
rnacentral:rRNA from 1 species